rnacentral:lncRNA from 1 species
AAGCAGUUCGGAGGAAGGAGACGGAGGGGUUUGCUCGCCAACCUAGCUAGCUCGCUCAGCUGCCGAGCUCUCUUCUUCGCUGGUAAGGUGGCCCGCUUCUCCUCUUACUUUUGUUUCGGUGUGAAUCUCCUCCUCCUGCUACUACUACUACUUCUAGUUUUUAUUCCCUACAAUCCAAGCGCUAUGAAUAUUCUGAUGCAGGUUCUCAUGAUCAGAGAUGACAAAAUGCAUGGGCAGGUUGCAGUUAUCAGGUGUCUUUUCAGCUAGUUCAGGUGAGAAAGUGAGGACAAACAAGUGUUGGAGAGUCUUGGAGGCAAUGCAGAUUUCUCUAUCCUCUUCAUGUCGACUUGCUGAUUCAUGAUGGAGAUGGCUGUCUUUUGAUUGGUGUCAUUUCGACACGUGACUUGAUUUGGCCAUCGAAUGUAAAUGACUAUUUGGCCAUGUGACUUCUGUUUUGGUCACUACUGAGUAAACACGUCAGUGUUUUGUAUUGGAUUUUAAUUGGGCUAAAUCUAUUUGAUAUAUGGGCUUCUCGCGUAUGCAUGGCCUAGAUGCAAUUUCAUUGCAAUGCUUGGGCCUAUUGGGCCUUUUGAAUAUGCAUGGCC